GACAUGCUCCGCUCUGCCACCAGGAGGAACAGAGUCUGGGUCCCGUCCAGAGCGAUCUUAUUCCUGAGGGAAAAGAGACAGAAAGGUCAGCGGGCGUCAUCUCCAUGGAUUUCUCAAAAGGAGCCAUGUUUGCUCGUCGUUUGGGACGGUUUUGGAAAGUCCAAUGGUUGGAAGUAAGCGAACUUCAGCGAGCUGCAGAGACCGCCGAGGUUUUAUAACCACAGAGCAGGGAGGAGUCCAAAGACGAGGUCCUUGUCCUGGCACACAAGAAGAAGAGCAUAAUUAAGGCAGCCCGAUCAGAUGACUGAAGAAACUUCCUGAACAACCAGAAAAACCUCCCGAGGCCAUCCUGAAGCUGAGAACUCUCGACCUUUUAACCUCUGCAAGUCCAUUUUUAAAAUGAUGUGCAUGUAAAAAUCUGAAAGUGUAGCAUC